GACAGAGGGGGCAAGCGUUGCUCGGAAUUACUGGGCGUAAAGCGCACGUAGGCGGAUUGGUCAGUUAGGGGUGAAAUCCCAGAGCUCAACUCUGGAACUGCCUUUAAUACUGCCAGUCUCGAGUCCGGAAGAGGUAAGUGGAACUCCUAGUGUAGAGGUGGAAUUCGUAGAUAUUAGGAAGAACACCAGUGGCGAAGGCGGCUUACUGGUCCGGUACUGACGCUGAGGUGCGAAAGCGUGGGGAGCAAACAGG
rnacentral:rRNA from 1 species